GACGAACGCUGGCGGCGUGCUUAACACAUGCAAGUCGAGCGGUAAGGCCUUUCGGGUACACGAGCGGCGAACGGGUGAGUAACACGUGGGUGACCUGCCCUGCACUUCGGGAUAAGCCUGGGAAACUGGGUCUAAUACCGGAUGGGACCAUUCCAUGCAUGUGGGGUGGUGGAAAGUCGGUGCUGUUGUGGUGUCGGCGGGUGGG
rnacentral:rRNA from 1 species